rnacentral:rRNA from 1 species
AACGAACGUUGGCGGCAUGGUUUAGGCAUGCAAGUCGAGCGCGAAACGUAGCAAUACGUGGAGAGCGGCGAAAGGGAGAGGAAUAUGUGGGAACCUAAUUUCGGGCCUGGAAUAGCGGAGGGAAACUUCCGGUAAUGCCAGAUAACGUCCUCGGACUAAAGGUGUGAUUUCGCCUGUAGAUGGGCCCACAUCCUAUCAGCUUGUUGGUGUGGUAACGGCGCACCAAGGCUAAGACGGGUAUGGGGUGUGAGAGCAUGCCCCCACUCACUGGGACUGAGGCACUAGCCAGACAGCUACGGGUAGCAGCAGUCGAGAAACUUCGGCAAUGAGCGCAAGCUUGACCGAGCGAUGCCGCGUACGGGAUAAAGGCGCGCGGGUUGUAAACCGCUGUCGUAGGGAAAUAACGGUCGGUGGGUUCGACCAUCGAUUGGAAUGAUCCUAGGAGGAAGGACGGGCUAAGUACGUG